UCACUGCAUUUUUGUGGAUUUAGGACGG
rnacentral:piRNA from 1 species